rnacentral:misc_RNA from 1 species
CUGCACCAGGAGUGAUACAGACAAGGCCAGUGAUGAUCCCUUGAAUAGCCCCAAUCACAGAGCUUUUCUUGUAUACUAUGAUGUCCAUUGAAACCCAGAUCAAGAGACUUGUUGCAGUGCAAACAUGUGUGUUCAAAAUGGCUAGCGAUGUAAUACGACCCACUGCAAAUGGAGCUCCUCCAUUGAAUCCAGUCCAACCCAUCCAAAGAAACCCUGCACCGCCAACCAUGUGCAGUAUGUUGUUUGG